rnacentral:tRNA from 1 species
UCCUUGGUGGCUCAGAUGGUAAAGAAUCUGCCUGUAAUGCAGGAGACCUGGGUUUGAUCCCUGGAUAGGGAA